GACGAACGCUGGCGGCGUGCUUAACACACGCAAGUCGAACGAUGAACUUGGAGCUUGCUCUGGGGGAUUAGUGGCGAACGGGUGAGUAACACGUGAGUAACCUGCCCUGGACUCUGGGAUAACUUCGAGAAAUCGGAGCUAAUACCGGAUAGGACCUUGCACCGCAUGGUGUGGGGUGGAAAGUUUUUCGGUUUGGGAUGGACUCGCGGCCUAUCAGCUUGUUGGUGAGGUAAUGGCUCACCAAGGCGUCGACGGGUAGCCGGCCUGAGAGGGUGACCGGCCACACUGGGACUGAGACACGGCCCAGACUCCUACGGGAGGCAGCAGUGGGGAAUAUUGCACAAUGGGCGCAAGCCUGAUGCAGCAACGCCGCGUGCGGGAUGACGGCCUUCGGGCUGUAAACCGCUUUUAGUAGGGAAGAAGCCUUCGGGUGACGGUACCUGCAGAAAAAGGACCGGCUAACUACGUGCCAGCAGCCGCCGUAACAC
rnacentral:rRNA from 1 species